AACCUAAAUCUACAGCUUGAUCUCCAGAAUCAAGCGGGGACUCUUCAGGUGGUCCAAAAUAGAGCAAGCCCACAGCAUCAUAAAAGUACUCUUUGGCUUCCUAGCCACCACAGCAAGCUUCUUGUAGAUGUCUAGAAAAUAGGCAAUUUUUAUUAAACUUGUUUUUCAUGGCAGGCAAUGCUCAAAGUGUGCUAGAUGUGUUGUUGAAGUCAUGACCAUAUUAUUAUAUUAUCCUAUCCUAAUAUCCUUUAAGGAGUAGCUGCCAUACUUUGAUUUAUGCCUUUAUCAAGGCCUGUUGCUUGGUGCUCCAAAGUUUUUGGAUGGCAGUUAUCAAAUAGCUGUGCUACAGAUUAAAAUAUGUCUUCAUCUUAUAAAUGGAGAUAUUUAUAUGCCAGAAAAGGUUCAUGGCAGUUUUUGGGUAACACCCACUGAGCAUGGUGGCAGCCGCGACCUUCAAGUUGCCUCUGUGUUCUUACAGACACUUUUAACAGCCAACAGUACCCCUAACCUGCUUCAUUGUCACUAUGCUGGCUCCUAAACACAACACAAAUUGCAAACAGGGUUCUCAAGCAACUUUCAGAAAUGAUAAACUUCUGUUGAGCUAAUGAGCAAAAAUUUGCCACAUUUUCAAGGUCACUACAAAAUAAGAAUAUAAGUUUAGAUUUGCUUGUCAGUACUGCAAUAUAGACCAAACUGUUUAAAACUCCAAACAAAAGGUUUGGAAGAGGCUUAAGACUUGAGCUUUCAAUGCAUAGAGUCUAAAAUCAAGUCAGUUUCUAAGCACAACCUCUGUCACAGUACUCCAGCUGAACAAUAGCAACCUUUAGGUAGGGUACUUUAAUCGGCAUGUUAAUGUUGAUGUGCCGAAGGACCAUUCCUGAAUUAAAAGACAACUCUUUACGUCCAAACACAGGGGAAAUGUGCUGGUGUUUUCAUUCCAAUCCAUACAUCCAUCCCAAAGAAGAAACAUUUACAAGACUAAAGCUUUUAGAAACCAAUCCAGACAAGCAGAUUCACUAACAGUUGGUAAUAAUGGGUUUGGAAUUUCUGUUUUUUUAGUUUUUUUUUUAGGAUUUGAAAUUUUAGAGAUAUUCGAUUAAAAAAAUUGAAAUAUUAUGUACUACAAAUAUAUUAGAUAUUAACUUACAACUCCUCAUAAUUGGAGCCCUCUGUUUCAGGUUCCCAGUCAUGGUCAUCCACAUCACAUUUCUAAAAACCAAUCCUUGUCCAGGCAAGUUGUCAGGAUUGUGGGUAUAUAUUCAGGGCAGAAGACGAAUUUCUUCUUUUGAGGCUUGUGAAACAGUUGCGACAAAAGUCACAAUUGAGAGUUUUUUCUCCUUUUGCAGCCAUUUUAAUCUUAUUACGUAUACAUCUUGCCUUCCAAUAGGUAGGCAAAUUUACCUAGGUUACUUUUGAAACUUUUUAUCUACAUCUUUCAAACCACAACAAGGUAAGGUUCACAUUUUAACUAACUUCUAAUGAAUGUUUUUAUCAUAUAUACAUCACUUUGUUUUCUUUUACAAACUCUCCCUAGUUAACCACUUGCCAUGUGAUUGUUCCUAAAUAUUUCAGAGAAAAAUGAGACAUAAAAGGGUUUGUCCAGAAACAGAAGCUUUGCAUUUCACUUCUUCUGGGAGGGAUAAAGACACAUUUUACAAAAGAUUCAUCAACAAGGAGAAAGGACCAACUCCAUUCAUCGCAUAGCAGUCCACAACUACCACAAAAGAUCUCACAGACAUCUCACAGAGUGUUAUCUGUGUUUACCCAGAAAUGACUGACACUCACCUGAGUCACAUUCCAGAGGAAUUAUGCAUUGGUGAAAUGAUCCAGUCAGAGCAGAAAAAUGUUCCAGGAGAACAAACAGAACAACACCAUGAAGUAAAAAACCAAGGACAAGAUACACAUACACGCGACCAAAUUCUGAAGAAAAUGCAUCCAAUUCAACAAAAAAAUUGUUGGCAAGAAAUCAUCACUGCCAUCAGUUGACAUGAGACACUUGGAGGAAGCACAUUCUGAAGAAAAGGCAUCUACUUUAACAAAGAAAAUUUGUGGCACAAAGAAACCCUCAUUGCCAUCAGUUCAAAAUGUACACUCAGAGGAAGAACCUCCUGAAGAAGGGGCAGCCAUUUCUAAAAACAAAAUGGGUGGCAUUAAUAAAUCCUCAUUGCAAUCAAUUAAAAAAGGAAAAUCCAGAAGGCCCUGGUCAAAGACUGAGGGAGACAUUGUUGAAAGCCAUUUCAAAGACUUCCUGGAAGAAAUGAAGAUGCCUGGAAAAGUGCACUGUCAGAGAUGCAUAGAUGAAAAUCAGAUUCUAAGGGAUAAUGACAGAGACUGGAAAGCUGUAAAAUACUGUAUGUACAACAAGAUAACAGCAAAGAGAAACAGUCUCCAAAAGUACUGAGAAUUAUACUGGACAUUUUGAGCAUCAAUGCUAGGAACCCAAAAAACCUACAUGUAUACCAAAGUACACAGAUACAAUUAAAAAAAAUGUAUUGACAUCAAGUCCUUGUGAAAACUUGUCAUUUUAGUACUGUAGGACUAAACAUGUUUAAAGCUGUAAAGACAGAUGCCAAAUACUUGUAAUAAUAAAAAAGUAACAAAG